AGAUUGCUCCAGAGAGAACAACUGACAGGGUUUUUAAACCAAGGGAAAGGAACUGUGAUUGGGUAGGAGAAAAGGAGCAGGUGUCUUCUGAUUAGCGACUGAUUGGGGAAUGAUUGCCAUCUAAAAUACUUCAAAAUGAGAAGAUACUGCCAUGGACAAGAUUGGGUGGACAUAAAGUGUAAAGGAGGGGAAAUUACUCCCACCAUGCAACAGAACAGCUUCAGCUGCGGGGUCUUUGUAAUGCAGAUGGCCGAGGAAGUUGCACAGAACUUCCCUAACAUCCCCUCCCAAAUGGAUAUAGAACCUUCACAAAAACACAGAGCAGCUGUGAAAAGAAAUGGCUGAGGAUAUACUAAAAAUGCCUGAGUUCAACAAAGGCAACAACUGCUCCACGUGUGCCAUUGAUAAAGUACCUGGCUGUUGCCCAAAGACUGACUGGAUUGAAUGUUUUGCAUGCCAACGGUGGUUCCAUGUGCUGUACCUAGGGAUGAAUACAAAUGACUUCAAUAGGUGUGAAGAACACAAACUGGAAGUGAUGUCUUUGUUUAAAAUGUAUGCUAUACCCCAUCCACACUGAAGAGGCUCUGAAAUGUACAUCAACCAGGGAUAAAGAGGAAGUAACACUGAAAUGUUUUGUACUUAUUUGACGUAAAGUGUCUGACAUUUUAGAAAAUAU